AAAAGGCACAGGAGAUAAUUUCGGGACUAUUCUGAGACUUAAUAUAACUGGAUGUAAAAGAAACUUUAAAAGUAGAUUUGAGAAAACGAACCAAGGGUAUUUAACAAAACGACAGUGUAGAUGCUUACCUGUGGAAAAGUUGAGGAGACAGAUGAGCUGAUUCCGGUAUCCACGAAUCUUGCAGGAGUGGGAGCUGACGGCCGAAUGACCAGGACUUACCCGAAGUAAUGGAAAGAGGUCGGAACAAAGUUGAACUCGAG
rnacentral:misc_RNA from 1 species